UACAGAGGUCUCAAGCGUUGUUCGGAUUCAUUGGGCGUAAAGGGUGCGUAGGUGGCGCGGUAAGUCGGGUGUGAAAUCUCGGGGCUUAACUCCGAAACUGCAUUCGAUACUGCCGUGCUUGAGGACUGGAGAGGAGACUGGAAUUUACGGUGUAGCAGUGAAAUGCGUAGAUAUUCGGAAGAACACCAGUGGCGAAGGCGGCUCACUGGACUGGUAUUGACGCUGAGGUGCGAAAGCGUGGGGAGCAAACAGGG
rnacentral:rRNA from 1 species